rnacentral:rRNA from 1 species
UACAGAGGUGGCAAGCGUUGUUCGGAAUUACUGGGCGUAAAGGGCGCGUAGGCGGUUCGGUAAGUCCUGUGUGAAAUCCCUCGGCUCAACUGAGGAACUGCACGGGAGACUGCCGGGCUUGAGUUCGGGAGAGGGAAGCGGAAUUCCGGGUGUAGCGGUGAAAUGCGUAGAUAUCUGGAGGAACACCGGUGGCGAAGGCGGCAUCCUGGACCAACACUGACGCUGAGGAGCGAAAGCCAGGGGAGCAAAGCGGG